CAUGCUCUCUAUCAGGAGGUGGUGGUGUGGACAGCUGUUGGAGACCUUUAUGCUUGAAAGCCCUGCAGAACUAGCUGGCUCCUUCUCACCCUCUCCAUCUCCCCAUCUCAGUCACACCUUCCAAUCACUAAGCAGUGAAAGCCCUGCAGGACUAGCUGGCACACCAAGCUCACCCUCUCCAUCUCCCCAUCUCAGCCACACGCUCCAAUCUGGCACAACAGAGGACAGGCCAUUCUUACCACCCGAAGUCCUUCAGCAAAUUGUACAAGAGACGCUGAGACUGGACAUGGCGAUGCUUGGCGUGUUCAACAGGGUUUCAAACACAUUCCGAGAACUAAUCAAGCCUCUCCAUCCUUCCAUAUCUAUAAAUGACAGUUU